UACGUAGGGUGCGAGCGUUGUCCGGAAUUAUUGGGCGUAAAGAGCUCGUAGGCGGUUUGUCGCGUCGGCCGUGAAAACUUGGGGCUUAACUCCAAGCUUGCGGUCGAUACGGGCAGACUUGAGUUCGGCAGGGGAGACUGGAAUUCCUGGUGUAGCGGUGAAAUGCGCAGAUAUCAGGAGGAACACCGGUGGCGAAGGCGGAUCUCUGGGCCUUACCUGACGCUCAGGCGCGAAAGCUAGGGGAGCGAACAGG
rnacentral:rRNA from 1 species